CUUUGCUGACGAGUGGCGGACGGGUGAGUAAUGUCUGGGAAACUGCCUGAUGGAGGGGGAUAACUACUGGAAACGGUAGCUAAUACCGCAUAACGUCGCAAGACCAAAGAGGGGGACCUUCGGGCCUCUUGCCAUCGGAUGUGCCCAGAUGGGAUUAGCUUGUUGGUGGGGUAACGGCUCACCAAGGCGACGAUCCCUAGCUGGUCUGAGAGGAUGACCAGCCACACUGGAACUGAGACACGGUCCAGACUCCUACGGGAGGCAGCAGUGGGGAAUAUUGCACAAUGGGCGCAAGCCUGAUGCAGCCAUGCCGCGUGUAUGAAGAAGGCCUUCGGGUUGUAAAGUACUUUCAGCGGGGAGGAAGGGAGUAAAGUUAAUACCUUUGCUCAUUGACGUUACCCGCAGAAGAAGCACCGGCUAACUCCGUGCCAGCAGCCGCGGUAAUACGGAGGGUG
rnacentral:rRNA from 1 species